GGAUUCCCCUAGUAACGGCGAGUGAAGCGGGAAGAGCUCAAAUUUGUAAUCUGGCACUUUCAGUGUCCGAGUUGUAAUCUCGAGAAGUGUUUUCCGCGCUGGACCGCAUACAAGUCUGUUGGAAUACAGCGUCAUAGUGGUGAGAACCCCGUAACUGAUGCGGAUGCCCAGUGCUUUGUGAUACACUUUCGAAGAGUCGAGUUGUUUGGGAAUGCAGCUCAAAUUGGGUGGUAAAUUCCAUCUAAAGCUAAAUAUUGGCGAGAGACCGAUAGCGAACAAGUACCGUGAGGGAAAGAUGAAAAGCACUUUGGAAAGAGAGUUAACAGUACGUGAAAUUGUUGGAAGGGAAACGCUUGAAGUCAGACUUGCUAUUUGGAUUUAUUCAAUUCGCAGGCCAGCAUCAGUUUUCGGGGGUGGAAAAGGGUUUGGAGAAGGUAGCAACUCCGGUUGUGUUAUAGCUCCUUGCUGGAUUCAUCUUUGGGGACUGAGGAACGCAGCACGCUUUUUGCAAGGCUUUCGAGCUUUUCGUGCUUAGGAUGCUGGUGGAAUGGCUUUAAACGACCCGUCUG
rnacentral:rRNA from 1 species